rnacentral:rRNA from 1 species
UACGUAGGUGGCAAGCGUUGUCCGGAUUUAUUGGGCGUAAAGCGAGCGCAGGCGGAAUGAUAAGUCUGAUGUGAAAGCCCACGGCUCAACCGUGGAACUGCAUCGGAAACUGUCAUUCUUGAGUGCAGAAGAGGAGAGUGGAAUUCCAUGUGUAGCGGUGGAAUGCGUAGAUAUAUGGAAGAACACCAGUGGCGAAGGCGGCUCUCUGGUCUGCAACUGACGCUGAGGCUCGAAAGCAUGGGUAG